UAGGGAAUCUUCGGAAUGGGGGCAACCCUGACCGAGCAACGCCGCGUGAGUGAAGAAGGUUUUCGGAUCGUAAAGCUCUGUUGUAAGAGAAGAACGAGUGUGAGAGUGGAAAGUUCACACUGUGACGGUAACUUACCAGAAAGGGACGGCUAACUACGUGCCAGCAGCCGCGGUAAUACGUAGGUCCCGAGCGUUAUCCGGAUUUAUUGGGCGUAAAGCGAGCGCAGGCGGUUAGAUAAGUCUGAAGUUAAAGGCUGUGGCUUAACCAUAGUACGCUUUGGAAACUGUUUAACUUGAGUGCAGAAGGGGGGAGUGGAAUUCCAUGUGUAGCGGUGAAAUGCGUAGAUAUAUGGAGGAACACCGGUGGCGAAAGCGGCUCUCUGGUCUGUAACUGACGCUGAGGCUCGAAAGCGUGGGGAGCAAACAGGAUUAGAUACCCUGGUAGUCCACGCCGUAAACGAUGAGUGCUAGGUGUUGGGUCCUUUCCGGGACUCAGUGCCGCAGCUAACGCAUUAAGCACUCCGCCUGGGGAGUACGACCGCAAGGUUG
rnacentral:rRNA from 1 species